UACGGAGGGUGCGAGCGUUAUCCGGAAUUACUGGGGUUAAAGGGUGCGUAGGCGGCGCUGUAAGUCAGGAGUGAAAGUUUGCGGCUCAACCGUAAAAUUGCUUUUGAUACUGCGGUGCUGGAAUUAGGAUGAGGUCAGCGGAAUGUGGCAUGUAGCGGUGAAAUGCAUAGAUAUGCCAUAGAACACCAAUUGCGAAGGCAGCUGGCUAGACCUGGAUUGACGCUGAGGCACGAAAGCGUGGGGAGCGAACAGG
rnacentral:rRNA from 1 species